GACAGAGGUGCCGAGCGUUAGGCGGAAUCACUGGGCUUAAAGCGUGUGUAGGCGGCCCGUUAAGUGCCUCGUGAAAUCCCCCGGCUCAACCGGGGAACUGCGGGGCAUACUGGCGGGCUUGGGUCGCUCAGGGGCAGACGGAACAGGCGGUGGAGCGGUGAAAUGCGUAGAUAUCGGAAGGAACGCCGGUGGCGAAAGCGGCGUGCUGGACCUCUUCUGACGCUGAGGCGCGAAAGCCAGGGGAGCAAACGGG
rnacentral:rRNA from 1 species